rnacentral:tRNA from 1 species
GGUCCCAUCGUUCAGGGGUUAGGACAUCAGAUUUUCACUCUGGAGACAGGGGUUCGAUUCCCCUUGGGACUACCA